GGAGAGAUGCCGGAGUGGUCGAUCGGGCCGGUUUCGAAAACCGGUGUAGCGCGAUUGCGCUACCUAGGGUUCGAAUCCCUAUCUCUCCGCCA
rnacentral:tRNA from 1 species